rnacentral:rRNA from 1 species
AGAACGAACGCUGGCGGCGCGCCUAACACAUGCAAGUCGAGCGCCUCACUUUCGGGUGGGGAGCGGCGCACGGGUGAGUAAUGCGUGGGAACCUACCAUGGGGUUCGGGACAACGGCGGGAAACUGCCGCUAAACACCGGAUACGGCCUUCAGCGAUGGAGGCGAAAGGUUACGCCCUGUGAUGGGCCCACGUCCGAUUAGCUUGUUGGUGAGGUAACGGCUCACCAAGGCUGCGAUCGGUAGCCGGUCUGAGAGGAUGAUCGGCCACACUGGGACUGAGACACGGCCCAGACUCCUACGGGAGGCAGCAGUGGGGAAUCUUGGACAAUGGGGGCAACCCUGAUCCAGCGACGCCGCGUGGGUGAUGAAGGCCUUCGGGUUGUAAACUCCUGUUGACCGGGACGAAUGAGUGCCGACCUAACACGUCGGUGCAGUGACGGUACCGGUUGAGGAAGCCACGGCUAACUCUGUGCCAGCAGCCGC